CCUAUCUUGUGGUAUGAACUGGGUACGCGAUGAUUUACACUGCGUAUUGGGGGCUUACCAUAAGAUNNN
rnacentral:pre_miRNA from 1 species